GAAACAAAAGAGCUCGAAAAAACAUUACUUAUAAGAAAAAUCGAAACAGCGCUAAAACAUUUACUGUAAAGCUGAGGAACACCGAAAAUAGCAAAAUUUAAAUCUUCAAGCUACUCGUACCCUGAAUACUCAAGGCAUAUAUAGUACCAUUAGCUGAUUACAACUCUUGAACCUAUCAUGAUGUGCCUUGUUGUUCUUUCCCUUAAGUCUCUUUUCCCGAAUUUUGUAGAUCAGCAGCCUCCUCGAUCUUUUCCUUAACAUCUUUGCUGUCAACUUUUUCAGCCUUUUCAUUUGCCUCUUUAUUAUCAUCCUUCGCAGGCUUCUCGUUAGUGUCCUUACUGUCAGUCUGUUCGACUUUGUCCGCAGUUUCUUUGCUAUCGGUCUUUUCCUCCUUGUCAUCGACCUCUAUACUAUCAGUCUCCUUAGCCUUGACAUCGGCCUCUUUACUUUCAGUUUCUUCGACCUUGUCCUCAGUUUCUUUGCUAUCGGUCUUUUCAUCCUUGUCAUUGGCCUCUAUACUAUCAGUCUCCUUGGCUUUGACAUCGGUCUCCGUUUUACCAGUGUCUUCAUUUGUUAUCUUUGUAUCUUUCUCCUCAACAUCCUUAUGAAGACUAGCUUUGUUAUUUUCGUCCUUACUCUCCUUUUCUUCCCCAACGUCAGAUUUCUCUUCUAAAUUGGCUUCCGAAUCAGCAUUCUUGGCUUCAGUUUUCUCAGAAAUUUCAGCUGUAUCAGACACAUCGGAUGCUCCUUUACCAACAGCAGGCUCAUCAGUUUCGGUUUUUUCGGCUUCAACAGAGGUAGAGUCCUUUGGCUCAGAUGUUAGUACCUUGGAUUUAGCAUUGGAUGAUCCCAUUUGUUCUUCUGAUACGGUCUCAAGCGUGCGAGCGGCUUGCUUUCGUGACUCGUCGGGUUUUUUUUCCACUACAACUUCCUUAGUGCUUGCAGUAGGCUUACUUGUGUCUUUUUUCAUCUCUAACUCUUCAUUGUAAGCUGAUUCAAGAUCACUAUCAUCGAGAGCAAAAGCAGAAUUAGCGACUUCAAUCGCACCAUUGCUAUCCAAAAUGAAGGAUUGUCCCUCCACAAAGGCGGCUGAAGAACUUGAUUCUACGGAGCGA